rnacentral:tRNA from 1 species
GGAGUUGUGGCUAAGAGGUAGAGUGCUCGCUUAGCAUGUGAAAGGCACUGGGUUUAAUUCUCAGCACCA